UUAACGGAAGUCAUGAAGUCGAGAACAGCGCAAGGUGAUUGAAUUAUCUUCGAAACCACACGAUUACACCACUGCCGAUAAAUCUGCAUUUUGAAAUCGCUCAGCAUUUCGUUAAGUUCCAAUGGAAGCAAGAACCUUUCCGCAAGCAAAAUGCGUAUCAUCUUUACACUCCUCGUUAUAACGAGCGGCUUCAUCGCGAACAUAUCUGCCUUCCACCUAAAAACCAUAUUACCGAAUCUACACACAUGUCCAAGAUCAGAACUCCAAAGAUGCUUACCGCAAAGCCUGGAAUCGAUGAAGCCUUACCUAGCGCAAGGUGUUCCGCUUUUGAGCAUACCCGCUUUCGUGCCAUAUUAUAUAUAAUUGAACAAAAUGAUUUUCACAAAUGAUUUUAUCCCUAUGAUAAAGUUUAGAGAUACAUUCAUCAGCGAUAUAUCAAAGUUCAGGAUAAGUAAAGUCAGAGUUACCGACAGGAAUGAUUUCAUUCAGUUUCUCGCACACUUUUCACUAGUCAGAGUUGUCCACUACGUUCAAUGCAUUCAGCUCGUUCAUGCCUACGCGUACUAAAAGUAGCACAUACGAAUUAAAUAGUAUUCUUGCGGACGUCGUUGCCGAAAUUACUAUAAGAGGCUCGAAUUUCGGAAUCGGAAUAGAGAGUGAACAAUACUUUUAUGUGCACAACGUCACCAUGCGAAUUAAAAAGAUUGGAGAUGUGAAGACUGAGAAACAAGAAAAAGGUAAUCCCAAAUGUUUAAUGCAGUUAACAAAUGAUUAUCUUGAAGUAGAGUGGGACACACUGACUUCCGAAUUAAUCCAUAACAUCCAAAACAUCGUAGCUGAAAUUAUCCAGACUAUCACGAAUAAGAUUUACACCAGUUUCCCAAUUCAUACAUUAAUGACUCGCUAAAAUAUUUUAUUGUUUUGUUUUUAUCGUCGUGACUAUAAGACUAAUUAUUUUAUAAUGAGUGUUACUCGCUAGCACAAUCAGUUGCGCAUCACUUAUUUUGUUACGAAAAUUCGUAUACGCUGCUUU